rnacentral:rRNA from 1 species
GAUGAACGCUGGCGGCGUGCUUAACACAUGCAAGUCGAACGGAAAGGCCCAAGCUUGCUUGGGUACUCGAGUGGCGAACGGGUGAGUAACACGUGGGUGAUCUGCCCUGCACUUCGGGAUAAGCCUGGGAAACUGGGUCUAAUACCGGAUAGGACGAUGGUUUGGAUGCCAUUGUGGAAAGUUUUUUCGGUGUGGGAUGAGCUCGCGGCCUAUCAGCUUGUUGGUGGGGUAAUGGCCUACCAAGGCGUCGACGGGUAGCGGCCUGAGAGGGUGUACGGCCACAUUGGGACUGAGAUACGGCCCAGACUCCUACGGGAGGCAGCAGUGGGGAAUAUUGCACAAUGGGCGCAAGCCUGAUGCAGCGACGCCGCGUGGGGGAUGACGGCCUUCGGGUUGUAAACUCCUUUCGCUAGGGACGAAGCGUUUUUGUGACGGUACCUGGAGAAGAAGCACCGGCUAACUACGUG